UGCAUCUCUGCAGCGGCAUCAGGUGCGGGGUUUGACGGGCACUGGCGCUUUCACAGGACCAGACAGCACAGGGUGACAUUGAACACUGAUGAGCGCAGGGAAAUGCCUCAGAAGAGAAGGAAACAGAAGGUGAAGUCCAGCCCGACGGAAGCCUCUGCUCCGAGUGUGGGGACGACGAGAAGCGCAGACCGCCAGGAGGAGAGGAGAGAAGCGGGCAGAGCGAGUCCAGCCGAUCAUUCACAGCCGGCUCUAGAUGAGGAUUCAGCCGUAAGACAAAACCCCUCCGAGACGGCAGGAGGACGAGAGCAGGACCACAGGAGCCUGACGCUCGUGGGAUGUGUGUCACCGUCUAGAAACACAGACAGCCGGUUGAAGUUAUUAGCAGAGAAGCGGAAAACGAGUCCAUACUUCAGUGGAAGGGAUGACGCUCUGAGUCCCCCGAAGCGCAAGGCCUUCCGGAAGUGGACUCCGCCGCGCUCACCCUACAAUCUGGUGCAGGAGACGCUGUUUCACGAGCCCUGGAAGCUCCUGGUGGCCACAAUCUUCCUCAACAGGACCAGCGGUAAGAUGGCGAUCCCUGCGCUGUGGGAGUUUUUCCAGCGCUAUCCGAGCGCAGAGGUGACGCGAGCGAGUGACUGGAGGCCGCUGGCUCUCCUGCUGCAGCCGCUGGGUCUCAGCACGCUCCGCGCCAAAACACUCAUCCGCUUCUCCGAUGAGUAUGUGAGUAAAUCGUGGCGGUAUCCCAUCGAGCUCCAUGGCAUUGGCAAAUACGGCAAUGAUUCGUACCGUAUCUUCUGCGUGGAGGAGUGGAGAGAGGUACAAACACUACAGGACAACACAUGAGCAGCGACGGUCACAUGCAGCGGGUUGAUGUGUGUGUGUGUGUGUGUGUGUGUGUGUGUGUGUGUGUGUGUCCUGCAGGUGCUGACCUCAGGCCUGUAUUAUUAUUAUAUAACAGAACUGGCCUUCUACUGGUCGCUCAUGUUCUCACAGUUCACAGACAUCAAAAGAAAGGAUUUCCUCAUCAUGUUCGUUCAUCAUCUGGCGACGGUCAGCCUGAUCAGUUUCUCGUAUGUAAAUAACAUGUUGCGUGUGGGGAGUCUGGUCAUG